rnacentral:lncRNA from 1 species
UUUUCCUUCAUUGUUUUUCAUGUUGUUAAUUUCUUUGCCUUACAUAGUGUUCUUGCCAAAGAAUGGGAAUAUAUCUCCAGCAGAGUGUGACAUUUAACACUGAAUUGCUGAAACAAUGUCUAACCUGAAAGCUUUAUGAUAGAACAACCACAUGUUUUGAUGACCUGGGAGAAAACUUCCUAGGAUGCUGUGAGUGUCAAAAGAACCCUCUUAAAAUACAUCAACAUCAGAUUGCUGGCUGGCCUGUGCUUAUAACAGAAUCAUCCUACUGUAAACAAGGAACUUUAUAUGACACAAGAAAAUCAACUGAGAUAAAAAGAGAAAAGCUGUCUGUUUCCUGGAGGAAAGGAUAUCGUCUCACAUUCCGUAUUGCCUUUUUCCGAAGUGUCUUUAACUCAGCGUGCAGAGCGAUGGUUGCAGCAAUCCAUGAAAAGCGUGUGCGUGUCCUGGUGCAGCAGCGCUGGAAAGGGCCCUUUGAUCCCCAUCUGCUGCAUUGCCCCGGUACUGCAGGACGUGCUUGUGGCACCCACCCCGAGGACUAGAAAUGGAAAAAAAAUAAACCAUGAAUCUCAGAGAUUGAUUCAACAGCAUAGAAGAAUUACACUUAACAAAAAUUAAAUUUGAUUAAGUGGACUGAAGUGAGACUUAAUGUUUCCCUGAACCCCUACCAUGGUACCACAGCCAGGUAUUUAGGAUAGAGCUCUAGGAAGCAUCCAGUAAAUUUUGUUUGCCACCCUAAUAUGGUUAUUAAGUUUAUACACUACCUCAGUUGUAUCGUAUGGGCUAUGCCAAGAUGGCUGUAGUCAGUCAGCAGAAAAUUGCCUCACUGAAGAACAUUAUUUUCUGGCUUUGAGGAGCAGUGUCAGGGCAAAUAAGGUUUGUUGCAACAUGUGUGUGCCUUGUGCUACAAACCUGACAAGAGGCACUCCAGAGUGGAGCACAGACUGUCAUUACCCUUCAGUGAGAUGUCUACUGUGAUUCCAGAACCUUCCUCCUACCUGACUACCUCCCCUACCUGUCUCAGUCUCUGUCUGGUCACCGCACAGAUGACCAUGGCUUUCUCUGGCAAUGCUGUCCCACCACAGCUAUGAAAUUGUCUCCAUUGAACAACAAUAGUUGCAUACAAAUCUCAAAUCUAUUUUGUUUAAUUUUUUUUUUUGCUUUUAGGGAAUGGAAAUGUGAGCAAAUGGUUUAUUUUGCAUAAAUCUAUAGGCCACUGUGUGAAACUUAAUUUAUAGUGAAUAUUUGGCAUAUAGUUCUCAAGUGAGUAUGAAUUUUCUUACAGUAGCAUUUACAAAUUUGGAAUUUUACAUCUAAGGCUAAUCAAAACUUUUUUUUAAAUUUCACCUGUGCUAGACAUUGCAUAGUG